rnacentral:rRNA from 1 species
GAUGAACGCUGGCGGCGUGCCUAAUACAUGCAAGUCGAGCGAAUGGAUUAAGAGCUUGCUCUUAUGAAGUUAGCGGCGGACGGGUGAGUAACACGUGGGUAACCUGCCCAUAAGACUGGGAUAACUCCGGGAAACCGGGGCUAAUACCGGAUAACAUUUUGAACCGCAUGGUUCGAAAUUGAAAGGCGGCUUCGGCUGUCACUUAUGGAUGGACCCGCGUCGCAUUAGCUAGUUGGUGAGGUAACGGCUCACCAAGGCAACGAUGCGUAGCGGACCUGAGAGGGUGAGCGGCCACACUGGGACUGAGACCCGGCCCAGACGCCUACGGGAGGCAGCAGUAGGGAAUCUUCCGCAAUGGACGAAAGUCUGACGGAGCAACGCCGCGUGAGUGAUGAAGGCUUUCGGGUCGUAAAACUCUGUUGUUAGGGAAGAACAAGUGCUAGUUGAAUAAGCUGGCACCUUGACGGUACCUAACCAGAAAGCCACGGCUAACUACGUGCCAGCCGCCGCGGUAA